rnacentral:rRNA from 1 species
AUUGAACGCUGGCGGCAUGCCUUACACAUGCAAGUCGAACGGUAACGCGGGGCAACCUGGCGACGAGUGGCGAACGGGUGAGUAAUAUAUCGGAACGUGCCCAGUAGUGGGGGAUAGCCCGGCGAAAGCCGGAUUAAUACCGCAUACGACCUACGGGUGAGAGCGGGGGAUCGCAAGACCUCGCGCUAUUGGAGCGGCCGAUAUCAGAUUAGGUAGUUGGUGGGGUAAAGGCCUACCAAGCCUACGAUCUGUAGCUGGUCUGAGAGGACGACCAGCCACACUGGGACUGAGACACGGCCCAGACUCCUACGGGAGGCAGCAGUGGGGAAUUUUGGACAAUGGGCGCAAGCCUGAUCCACGCCAUGCCGCGUGCGGGAAGAAGGCC